rnacentral:rRNA from 3 species
GUUGACCUCGGAUCAGGUAGGAAUACCCGCUGAACUUAAGCAUAUCAAUAAGCGGAGGAAAAGA